rnacentral:misc_RNA from 1 species
GAUGAAGAACGCAGCGAAAUGCGAUAAGUAAUGCGAAUUGCAGAAUUCAGUGAGUCAUCGAAUCUUUGAACGCACAUUGCGCCCUGUGGUAUUCCGCAGGGCAUGCCUGUUCGAGCGUCAUUUCAACCCUCAAGCCCCGCUUGGUGUUGGGCCCCGCCCGCUGUGGCCGGCCCUAAAGACAGUGGCGGCGCCGCCUGGCCCUCAGCGUAGUACAUCUCUCGCUCCAGGGUCCGGGGGCCGCCUGCCAGAACCCCCCAACUCUGUGGUUGACCUCGGAUCAGGUAGGGAUACCCGCUGAACUUAAGCAUAUCAAUAAGCGGAGGA